UACGUAGGCAGCAAGCGUUGUUCGGAGUUACUGGGCGUAAAGGGUGCGUAGGCGGCUUUUUAAGUUUGGUGUGAAAUCUCCCGGCUCAACCGGGAGGGUGCGCCGAAUACUGAGAGGCUAGAGUGUGGGAGAGGAAAGUGGAAUUCCUGGUGUAGCGGUGAAAUGCGUAUAUAUCAGGAGGAACACCGGUGGUGUAAACGGCUUUCUGGACCAUAACUGACGCUGAGGCACGAAAGCGUGGGUAGCAAACAGG
rnacentral:rRNA from 1 species